rnacentral:lncRNA from 1 species
GACCUUUUAAAUUUUAUACUGGAAAUAAUAGAAGAUAGCUUAGUGUAAUUUUUUAAAUAAUAAAAUUACGAAAUAAAAAUACUUAAGGACUGUUUGGUUACAUGCAAUUAUAACUACAGUGUAAUUACAACUACAUGCACAUGCAAAUUCGACAUCUAAUACGAUGCGUUUGAAUCAAAUUAUUACAGUUGAAACUACAUCCAAAUGAACCGCAGUUCCAACUGCAACAAUGAGGGAGAGUAAUUAUAAGCGAGAGGUGAGUUUACCUCUUAAUUAUUUUUUUA